AAGAAGGUGCCACCGUUAUAAAAAAGCAGCAAGAAGGUGCCACUGUUAUCUAGUUAACGUUGACAACUGUGAGCUGUAUGGAUGCUUGUCUACAAGUUUAGAAACAGGAAACAGUGCUUGCUGCGAGGGCAUACAAACGAGAAAGUUGUUAUGAAGGAAAUCUAGAUCAGAGAAUGGGCACGCAGAUGGCCUUGGAGAACAAAACAGUCCGUGGUGCUAGGCAGUGACGUGAGGUCGUGUUUGUGUGAACAAGAGCCCUCUCAUGCUGAGUCUGGUGACUGGAAGGUUUUCUUCCCCCCAAACAACCUAAUUGUCAAAGGGCAUCGUGUUAUUAAUGGUGGAAGCAUGCCUGUCACUAGUAAUGUAUCAAACAGAGGUCUUGAUAUUAUCUGCUGCUGAUGAGUUGAUUAGGUUUCACCCGCAGGAAGAGCCUGGCCGCAGCCCGCCACAGGUCCACCACGCAUGACGUGCAGAAGAGUCCUUGUCGCACCCCAGGCGGGAGUGAUGCAGGCGAAAAACACACCUGAUUCCUUUGGGUCUCCAUGGCAGCAGGGCCAGAUAAUGACGCUCCAUCAGCAGGAAGAGGCUGAUCCUGUGACAGAGGGUGUUUUCAAGGUCAUAUCGCCUAGGAGCCUCUGCCUGGAUGGAAGAUGAAUCCGGUAUCUAAGCUUCUCCCUUAAAGCUGUCAGUGAAGCCACUGCCAACUGGAGUGCUUCCGAGUUCCUCCUAAACUCCUGCAUAUGUGUAGUUAAGUCACUUGAAAAGAAAAUAUAAAUGGUCCAAACUCAUCAGUCCACUGUAACUGUACAUGGAGUAUUCAGUUUGCCAUUAAAUUAUGAUUAUCUUGAUUGUUCCCUAAUGUCUUUUUUCUGUCCCAGGUGUGAUUGCUGUUUAUCUUGAAUCUCGCCAGAUAGUAUGGCAAGAACUGUAAAACCCCACACCCAAAAGGCUGAAAGGACCUAAAGCCCAGUUAGAGAAAGAAUUUGAAUAUUAGUUGAUUAACAAACAGACAGGUCCAGAGAGGGGUUGGGUCAUGCAACGCCCCCCUACAUACACACAAACAAACUAUGAGCCCACAGUAUUCCAAGGACACGUUAAAACUUAAAUGACAUAUAGGAACUUGAUACAGUUCAUUCUUAAAGCCAAGGAAAUAAGGUCAUGCAUAACUAAAGACCAACAGCAAGAUAUUGCCUAAACCAUCCUUCAUUUAAACCACCUUGAGCAGGUUCUCUUGCAAGUGGAAGAGAAAGCAGAGAAAGAGAGAGAGGAACCACCAUUGCAAUGAUUUCCAAACAGGUAGAAUCAAAAGGUUGAAAUUUUCAACCAAGAGUUUUAUGUCAUUGCAACAGGAGCCUCUCUUAUCUAGGACGGGAUUCCUACCGCGUGGCUGCAGUGUGAUAAAGAAGAAUCAGCUAUCAGUUUCUCACAUUAUCAUACUUCACACAUAGGCACAGUUGUCAUAACCAAUGAACCAAUAUAGAUACACUGUUUUCUUGAUUGUCCCCUA
rnacentral:lncRNA from 1 species